AUUGAACGCUGGCGGCAGGCCUAACACAUGCAAGUCGAGCGGAGCGGCGGACGGGUGAGUAAUGCCUAGGAAUCUGCCUGUUAGUGGGGGAUAACGUCCGGUAACGGGCGCUAAUACCGCAUACUAUCAGAUGAGCCUAGGUCGGCUUGGCUUGUUGGUGGGGUAAAGGCCUACCAAGGCGACGACCCGUAACUGGUCUGAGAGGAUGAUCAGUCAAACUGGAAAUGAAGAACGGUCCAGACUCCUACGGGGGGCAGGAGUGGGGAAAAUUGGAAAAAUGGCGAAAGCCUGAUUCAGCCAAGCCGCGGGGGUGAAGAAGGGCUUCGGAUUGUAAAGCACUUUAAGUUGGGAGGCGUUACCAACAGAAUAAGCACCGGCUAACUUCGUGCCAGCAGCCGCGGUAAUUC
rnacentral:rRNA from 1 species